UGGGGAAUAUUGCACAAUGGGCGCAAGCCUGAUGCAGCCAUGCCGCGUGUGUGAAGAAGGCCUUCGGGUUGUAAAGCACUUUCAGCGAGGAGGAAGGUGGUGAGCUUAAUACGCUCAUCAAUUGACGUUACUCGCAGAAGAAGCACCGGCUAACUCCGUGCCAGCAGCCGCGGUAAUACGGAGGGUGCAAGCGUUAAUCGGAAUUACUGGGCGUAAAGCGCACGCAGGCGGUUUGUUAAGUCAGAUGUGAAAUCCCCGGGCUCAACCUGGGAACUGCAUUUGAAACUGGCAAGCUAGAGUCUCGUAGAGGGGGGUAGAAUUCCAGGUGUAGCGGUGAAAUGCGUAGAGAUCUGGAGGAAUACCGGUGGCGAAGGCGGCCCCCUGGACGAAGACUGACGCUCAGGUGCGAAAGCGUGGGGCAGCAAACAGGAUUAGAUACCCUGGUAGUCCACGCUGUAAACGAUGUCGAUUUGGAGGUUGUGCCCUUGAGGCGUGGCUUCCGGAGCUAACGCGUUAAAUCGACCGCCUGGGGG
rnacentral:rRNA from 1 species